CCACCAUCCAGAGCUUCGUCAGGGACAGCCGGCUCUAGGCGGUUCCCCCCUCGGCCCCCACCCCCCGCCGGGGGGGCCCGGGGGAGGAGGGGCUGCGGGAGAUGAACAAGAAGCUGCAGAACCUUCUGGAAGAGCAGCUCACCAAGAACCUGCACCUGGCGCAGGACCUGGAAUCGCUGUCCCAGGAACUGGCCCAGCUCAGGAAGGACCAAACGGCCCCCCCUGGACCCCCCUGAGGGGCAAGGCCACCUCUGCCGGUGGGCGGGGCCUCUCCCCCUCGCCCCGCCCCCUCCCGCUGCAAGCUCCACCCCCCGGUGGGGGGCGUUCUGCUUGGGGGGGGCAUUGCCCCUUUAAGAACGGUGGGGUGGUCCCUACUUGGCGUUACCCCUGUGAGGCCUGGGCAGAUCCCCCGGGGGGGGUGUUGCCCCUUUAAGACGGGUUUAAAUCUCUCCCCUUUGGGCGUUGCCCCUUUAAGGAGGUCGCGGUCCCCUCUAUGCCGUUGCUCCUUUAAGACCUGGGGUGGUCCCCUACUUAACGUUGCCUCUUUAAGACGGGUAUGGGCCCGCCCCCCCCCCAGGACGCCAUUGCCCAUUUAAGAACGGGUUUGACACCACCUUUGGGCGUCGCCCCUUUAAGACGAAGGUGGGGCCCUCCCCAGACUCCGUUUCCCCUUUAAGACGGGUUUGAAACUCCCCCUCGGGCGUUGCCCCUUUAAGGCGGUCGCGGUCCCCCCCCAUUGUGCCGUUGCCCCUUUAAGAGGGGGAGGGUCCCGCAUGCGGCCCCCCCUCAAUAAACAAACCCCAACCGCCA